CUGUGGACUCCUAGCAGACGUUACCGUAGCAACUGGCCCUCCUCCAGUGAAGAAGGUUACCCUCGCCUACAAAUACAGAAGAGGACACUACAGAAACUGCUGGGAACUUUCGCCUAUAGCCCUAUUUCAUGAUGACCCUGCUAAGGUACCCCAACCACAAAACCGCUACACUUUCGGCAGUAUUCUGAGGGAGGAAGAAAACACAGUCGAUGAGGAGGUAUCAGACAAAGGGCUAUAAGAAAAAAAGAACAACCCCUGUAUAUCCAAUCACUGACAUUUACACUGACGAUCUGAUCCUCAUCAUGGCCCCCUUGAAUCAGCACCUGCGGUUUGAUGUGCCUGAAGUGUUGCAAGAAGUGUUUCACAGUGGCACGGACAUCUCAGCACGCAGCCGUGGUUGUUGGUGCUUGGGUUGGACCCAGGAGAUCUGGACCUUGAUUCUACUGCUGUUUUGUUUAUGAGCAGCCUCGCAGAAACAAACUGUGAUUGACACCUGCUUAGGUGUUAAUGAAAAGCCCAGACACAACAGCCUC